rnacentral:tRNA from 1 species
CUCGGUUUAACUCAGCGGCGAGAGUGUCUCCCUUACAAGGAGAAAGUCAUAGGUUCGAGUCCUAUAACCGAGACCA